AUGCCUCACAGAAUUUCUUAUAGUUCCCCUAAUCGGCGUCGCCUUUCUGAGCUACUUCGCUAUCACACUUCCCAGUCUGGAGAUGAGAUGACCUCUCUCUCAGAAUAUGUGUCCCGCAUGAAGGAGACCCAGAAGUCCAUUUAUUACAUCACCGGUGAGAGCAAAGAGCAGGUGGCCAACUCUGCUUUUGUGGAACGAGUGCGCAAGCGGGGCUUUGAGGCUGUGUAUGUGACUGAACCUAUCGACGAGUACUGUGUGCAACAGCUCAAGGAAUUUGAUGGGAAAAGCCUGGUUUCUGUCACCAAGGAGGGCCUAGAACUACCUGCGGAUGAAGGGGAGAAAAAGAAAAUGGAGGAGAGCAAGGCCAAGUUUGAGAAUCUCUGGUAAGCUCAUGAAGGAAAUUUUGGAUAAGAAGGUCGAGAAGGUGACAAUUUCCACUAAGCUUGUAUCUUCACCCUGCUGCAUUGUGACUAGCACAUAUGGCUGGACAGCCAAUAUGCAGCGGGUCAUGAAAGCACAGGCACUUCAGGACAACUCGACAAUGGGCUACAUGAUGGCUAAAAAGCACCUGGAGAUUAACCCCGAUCAUCCAAUUGUUGAAACACUGAGACAGGAGGCUGAGGUGGACAAGAAUGAUAAAGCUGUUAAGGACCUGGUGGUGCUGCUGUUUGAAACCACACUGCUCUCUUCUGGUUUCUCCCUUGAGAAUCCCCAGACUCACUCCAACCACAGUUACCGCAUGAUCAAGCUAGGCUUAGGCAUUGAUGAAGACGAGGUGACUGCUGAGGAACCCAGUGCUGCUGUUCCUGAUGAGAUCCCCCCACUUGAGGGUGAUGAGGAUGCAUCUCGCAUGGAAGAAGUCGAUUAA